UGGGGAAUAUUGGACAAUGGGCGCAAGCCUGAUCCAGCCAUGCCGCGUGAGUGAUGAAGGCCCUAGGGUUGUAAAGCUCUUUCGGCGGGGAAGAUAAUGACGGUACCCGCAGAAGAAGCCCCGGCUAACUUCGUGCCAGCAGCCGCGGUAAUACGAAGGGGGCUAGCGUUGUUCGGAAUUACUGGGCGUAAAGCGCGCGUAGGCGGACCAUUAAGUCAGGGGUGAAAGCCCGAGGCUCAACCUCGGAAUUGCCCUUGAUACUGGCGGUCUCGAGACCGGGAGAGGUGAGUGGAACACCCAGUGUAGAGGUGAAAUUCGUAGAUAUUGGGUAGAACACCAGUGGCGAAGGCGGCUCACUGGCCCGGUUCUGACGCUGAGGCGCGAAAGCGUGGGGAGCAAACAGGAUUAGAUACCCUGGUAGUCCACGCCGUAAACGAUGGAUGCCAGCCGUUGGGCGGCUUGCCGCUCAGUGGCGCAGCUAACGCCUUAAGCAUCCCGCCUGGGGAGUACGGUCGCAA
rnacentral:rRNA from 1 species